CUUCCGCGUGCUGUGAGAAAAUUAAAGUUGCAGCGUUUAUCGACUUGACAAGAUUUGUAAAAUACAGGGAUGGUGUGGUCUAGUAGCUGAAGCUCAAGGCUAGAAACCAAGAGGAUCAUGAUGGCUCAAGCUGUGACCUAUCAUCAGUGUGAUCUUGCGACCUUUGACCUCGGGUUGCCUGCUACAAGACUGCCUGCUUACUUUAAGAGCACAUUAAGAAUCACCAGGUCUCUGGCUGAAGGGUGUAACACGAGCCCACGGUGGAGAAGAACAGCCACGCAAGCAGCUGCAGAGGGUGCGAUGCGUUCGGGACGUGUCUUCUCGAGACCGAGCCAUUCAGCGGCGCUCCGAGGAAGAAUAGGGGGCGUUAGGACCAAGAGGUGCGUGUGUCUCUUUGAGGAAAGAACAAAGGCUGACAUCUCCAAGAUGAAAGCCGGGUGAAAUCUAAACUAAUUAAACCCAAUGAGGCAGCUGGCCGGGGUUCAAAAAGCAGCCACACCAAGAAGCCAUUUAAACUUUCACAUUCGCUCCAGGCUCAAAGAAAACAGUUAGGGUGGGGAGCCAAAAAAAAAAGUUCAAAAACCAACCUGGCGGAGAGUCAAACAGGUGUAUUAAAGAAAACGUCCACGCUGUGUGUUUGUUUCAAAACGAACCCCAAAGGGCGGGUGGACCGCAAUCUGGUGCCUAUUUCAUUAAUAAAGGCACGGUCACAGCAAGCUCUUCCUAGGGUUUGGACUCGAGAGCUUUUGGAUAGUUGACGAGAAUUGCUUUUUAAAACCCCAUCUAAAACUAUUUUAAACAACAUUCUCUUGUAAUGAUUGUUCAUGCAACCGUUAU